GAUGAACGCUGGCGGCGUGCCUAAUACAUGCAAGUCGAGCGAACGGACGAGAAGCUUGCUUCUCUGAUGUUAGCGGCGGACGGGUGAGUAACACGUGGAUAACCUACCUAUAAGACUGGGAUAACUUCGGGAAACCGGAGCUAAUACCGGAUAAUAUUUUGAACCGCAUGGUUCAAAAGUGAAAGACGGUCUUGCUGUCACUUAUAGAUGGAUCCUCGCUGCAUUAGCUAGUUGGUAAGGUAACGGCUUACCAAGGCAACGAUGCAUAGCCGACCUGAGAGGGUGAUCGGCCACACUGGAACUGAGACACGGUCCAGACUCCUACGGGAGGCAGCAGUAGGGAAUCUUCCGCAAUGGGCGAAAGCCUGACGGAGCAACGCCGCGUGAGUGAUGAAGGUCUUCGGAUCGUAAAACUCUGUUAUUAGGGAAGAACAUACGUGUAAGUAACUGUGCACAUCUUGACGGUACCUAAUCAGAAAGCCACGGCUAACUACGUG
rnacentral:rRNA from 1 species